rnacentral:rRNA from 1 species
GACGAACGCUGGCGGCGUGCUUAACACAUGCAAGUCGAACGGAAAGGCCCUGCUUGCAUGGUAUUCGAGUGGCGAACGGGUGAGUAACACGUGGGUUAUCCGCCCUGUACUUUGUGGUAAGCCUUGGAAACUGGGUCUAUUACCGGAUAGGGGCCAUUAUUAGUGUGAUGGUUGGAAAGUUUUUUGGGUGUAGGGAGAGUUCGCGGGCUAAUAGCUUGUUGGUGGGGUGAUGGCCUACCAAGGCGGCGAAAGGUAGCCGGCCUGCGGGGGUGGACAGCCAAAUUGGGGACGAGGAUAGGCCCAAGAGCCUAAGGGGGGCAGCAGGGGGGAAUAUUGCACAAUGGGGACGAGGCUGAUGGAGGGAAGCCGCGGGGGGGAAGGCGGGCUUGGGGUUGUAAAAUCGUUUCGGUAGGGAAGAAGGUUUUUGUGACGGUACCUAGAGAAGAAGCACCGGCUAACUACGUG